CCUACGGGUGGCAGCAGUGGGGAAUAUUGCACAAUGGGCGCAAGCCUGAUGCAGCCAUGCCGCGUGUGUGAAGAAGGCCUUCGGGUUGUAAAGCACUUUCAGCGGGGAGGAAGGCGGUGAGGUUAAUAACCUCAUCGAUUGACGUUACCCGCAGAAGAAGCACCGGCUAACUCCGUGCCAGCAGCCGCGGUAAUACGGAGGGUGCAAGCGUUAAUCGGAAUUACUGGGCGUAAAGCGCACGCAGGCGGUCUGUCAAGUCGAAUGUGAAAUCCCCGGGCUCAACCUGGGGACUGCAUUCGAAACUGGCAGGCUAGAGUCUUGUAGAGGGGGGUAGAAUUCCAGGUGUAGCGGUGAAAUGCGUAGAGAUCUGGAGGAAUACCGGUGGCGAAGGCGGCCCCCUGGACAAAGACUGACGCUCAGGUGCGAAAGCGUGGGGAGCAAACAGGAUUAGAUACCCCAGUAGUC
rnacentral:rRNA from 1 species